UACGUAGGGUGCAAGCGUUGUCCGGAAUUAUUGGGCGUAAAGAGCUCGUAGGCGGUUUGUCGCGUCUGCUGUGAAAACUGGGGGCUCAACCCCCAGCCUGCAGUGGGUACGGGCAGACUAGAGUGCGGUAGGGGAGAGUGGAAUUCCUGGUGUAGCGGUGAAAUGCGCAGAUAUCAGGAAGAACACCCGUGGCUAAGGCGGCUCUCUAGUACGGUACUGACGCUGAGACGCGAAAGCGUGGGGAGCGAACAGG
rnacentral:rRNA from 1 species